CCUACGGGAGGCAGCAGUGGGGAAUAUUGCACAAUGGGGGAAACCCUGAUGCAGCAACGCCGCGUGAGUGAGGAAGUAUUUCGGUAUGUAAAGCUCUAUCAGCAGGGAAUAGAAAAGAAGGUACCUGACCAAGAAGCACCGGCUAACUACGGGCCAGCAGCCGCGGUAAUACGUAGGGGGCAAGCGUUAUCCGGAUUUACUGGGUGUAAAGGGAGCGUAGGCGGAAAGGCAAGUCAGCAGUGAAAGCCCAAGGCUCAAACAUGGGACUGCUUUUGAAACUGGCAAACUAGAGUACGGGAGAGGUAUGAGGAAUGCCUGGUGUAGCGGUGAAAUGCGUAGAUAUUAGGAGGAACACCAGUGGCGAAGGCGUCUUACUGGACCGAAACUGACGUUGAGGCACGAAAGCGUGGGGAGCAAACAGGAUUAGAUACCCGUGUAGUC
rnacentral:rRNA from 1 species